UGGCGCCGAUAAACAGAUGCUGGUUGAGGGAGUCUCCGGAGCUGGUGCGUUGUGACCCGUUGAAGACAACGCGGAGCUUAGUACUGGAGCUGGACUGGCGGAGGAUUCCAUGGUCCUCAUAUUCCUGCAUGAAUUCUCGAUACCGAACUCCGAAUUCAGGAUCUUUCUUGCACCGACGAUCCAUAGCGUUCAAGAGGCUUCCGGCUGGUUUUCGCGUCUCAUCCAGUGACGUUGGCAAGGAAGAAAAUGGGAGACGUACGACGUAUCUUCCUGAGGCUGUCCGCUGUGCACUGCAGGGAGCUGCGGAGACCUUGGAAGGACGCCGAGCGGGACCCUCCUGACAGAAUCCAUCCCAAGGCAGUUUUUUGGGCGAGGGGUUCUUGGGGACCACCCUUGCGAAGGCCGACUUCCAGGAUGAUCGAGUAAACUUCGGCGCCCAACAAUAACUCGACCGGGUCGCGCUCCUGAUACCUGGGGUCGGCGAGUUCAAGACCACGGGCAU